UACGGAGGGUGCAAACGUUGCUCGGAAUCAUUGGGCGUAAAGAGCGUGUAGGCGGCCAUACAGGUCCGUUGUGAAAACUCGAGGCUUAACCUCGAGACGUCGAUGGAAACCGUAUGGCUAGAGUCCGGAAGAGGAGAGUGGAAUUCCUGGUGUAGCGGUGAAAUGCGCAGAUAUCAGGAAGAACACCAGUGGCGAAGGCGGCUCACUGGCCCGGUACUGACGCUGAGGUGCGAAAGCGUGGGGAGCAAACAGG
rnacentral:rRNA from 1 species